rnacentral:rRNA from 1 species
GAUGAACGCUGGCGGCGUGCCUAAUACAUGCAAGUCGAGCGAACAGAUGAGGAGCUUGCUCCUCUGACGUUAGCGGCGGACGGGUGAGUAACACGUGGAUAACCUACCUAUAAGACUGGGAUAACUUCGGGAAACCGGAGCUAAUACCGGAUAAUAUAUUGAACCGCAUGGUUCAAUAGUGAAAGACGGUUUUGCUGUCACUUAUAGAUGGAUCCGCGCCGCAUUAGCUAGUUGGUAAGGUAACGGCUUACCAAGGCAACGAUGCGUAGCCGACCUGAGAGGGUGAUCGGCCACACUGGAACUGAGACACGGUCCAGACUCCUACGGGAGGCAGCAGUAGGGAAUCUUCCGCAAAGGGCGAAAGCCUGACGGAGCAACGCCGCGUGAGUGAUGAAGGUCUUCGGAUCGUAAAACUCUGUUAUUAGGGAAGAAAAAAUGUGUAAGUAACUAUGCACGUCUUGACGGUACCUAAUCAGAAAGCCACGGCUAACUACGUG